AAAGAUGGAGAGUGAAUGUAGUGGAAUAACUCUUAGUAAGGAAGCAUUUGGGGUCAUCACAUGAAUUUGAGAGAAUGUUGUAAUGAAGGUUUCAGGUUCAUGCGUUAAGUAGUGUGUUUUUCUCCUCCUUGAUCCAUCUUUAUUUCUUGAUUUGUGCCCCUUUGAGGUUGAUCCCUGAAGCAAAGAGUAAGAGUGUGGUCUGGUCAGCAAGUUGUAUUAUAGCUGAUAUCUCUGUCACCACUUGGAAUAACGAGGUUUAACGGGAUUAAGUUGGGGGUUCAGUUGGGCAUCGAGUUCGGUCCAGUGGCUGAAACCAUAGUUCAGUCUGGUGUCGAAUUCAGUUUCAAGUGACUAAAAUCUGGUUUGAGUUAUGGGAGUAGAAAGCUAUCAACGCUGCAGCCAUCCUCACCUUGUUUUAAUAAAUUGAAGCUAUGAUUUAAGAUGUGAAGGGCUGGUAAUUAAAAAGGAAUCCAAGCAAAUCCAGUAACUGGGAGUGUGUGGCUGAAACUUGUUUCAGUUUUGGGGAGGCGCUGUGCGUGCUCAAGCUACGCGUCGGCUGGUGUCUGCCUUGCCUCCUGUGUGGACACCGCUAAAUCCAAACUUUUGCCGCUUAACUGAAGCCAGAUUUGCUUGCGCCAUUCCAUCGCGGCCACGUAUCCAAACUCGACCGGUGCUGGCUCUAUAGCGCUCCUUCCACUGUGAUAAGGAUAGCCACGUGCAACUUCCUGCUUCUUCCGAACCAUACACGACGAGUAUUCCUGGCCCUAGCAUCUUCCCUGUAACGCUUGCCUCACUUCGUCUCUCCCAGCCACCCUCUAAUUUUCUUGUCGCGGACGUCUCUUUCACUGCUCAUCCUUCUUCUUCCGGCCAUCAGUCUCACCGCUCGCCUUUAGCUCUUUUACUCUCCAGCAACCGUCUCCUGCCAUCAGCCAGGCGUGCGCAACUCAUACAGCAGCAGUUCCAACGAAGCACAUCAGUUGUGCGGUCGUGCCUUAACGUUGGACCUCCACUUCCACUCCCUCUCUUUGGUCGAGCUUCACCUGUUCGCCGAUCUGGCUGCCCGUCGUCCUCUCCAUGUCCCGCGCCUUGGUCCGGUCUCGGCUGCUGUUAACCAUCGCGUCCGGACAUCAGUGCAUGUCACCUUCGGUUUCUCCCUGCCCAUUCCAUGUCAUGGUAGGCUUGUAUCGGCCAUCGACCCCACGCUCAUCCUCGCAACCUCACUGCAACGUCGUCGUUCUCCCAGUUCUGCGCGAACGUCUGUGGUAGCGGUGGCUGAACACCUAGAGAAGAAGCGGUUUCUGAAGAAGGAGUUCACUUCAGAGCCUAUUGAUCCAGUGGUGGAAUCCCAUCUAACUAAUUAUCAUGAUAGAAAGGUUUUGGAUCUUCUCUGCAACAAGGCAAGCCCCGGUGCAUUUGCCACCUCCCUUGUGUUUACAAAAUUUUAUCACUUAUAUGCUGCAUUAGAUGAUAGGAGUUGAUUGAUUAAACACUUGAUGCAUUACCAUCCUUGAAAAAUUGAUUACCAUACCUUGUCACCUAUUUUAUAAAAGCUAGAGAUGCUUAGUCAUGCUGAUAGACUAAGAAAAAUGUUUUUGAUCUAUGACUCAUGUUUUUACAAAAAAGAAAAUGGGCUUGGGAUAAUGAAGGCAUCAAGACGUUGAUAAAUUCAUUAUCCAGGCAUGGCCCCUCUGCCAGGCGCCAAAAUUUUGAAAUAGUUUAAAAUGGGACCAGACGCUGAGCAGGAAAAGUCGCCCGUCUGUGUCGAUUAAGGAUCGUACCGAUUGUUGGCCUGCUGAUCUAGGACCCUUUAUCUGGCCACAUACCUCGUCAUGGGUAAGCCUGAACCCGGCUAAUCCAUACAUGAAAAGACAAUCGCGCACUGGGAGUGGAGAGAUGGCGAGAGUGGCACGUACCCUCCUGGCAAAGGACCGCCUAAAAGGGGUGGUGUGCUCUCGGGUGGCGCGGACCUGUUCAUGUGGUGGAGGAUCCGUGGGAAUGGUAGACAUGUGCAAAAGAGUUAAGGCAAGCAUAUGUCGUGUGGUUGGAGAUCCCCAGCUGGGUAUUAAUCGAUUCGGAUCGCCGAACUUCUCGGAUAUGAAGACUGAAUCUUCGACCUUCAUCGUAGAUAACAAGCGAAACAAAAUUUGGAUUUUAAAAGCAACCUAGUGUAGGUCAAGUGAAUGAUCUAGAUUAGGCAAAUGCUAGAUUCAGGCUAGAAGAUUCAGGUAAUAAACUAACUUUUGAAAUAAAACUUGGCUUAAGGACCCACUUCUAGUAAGCUUUUCUGCAAAAUGAGUCCUUGAACUUUGAUGAGCUUUACCUUGAUUCCCAAAAGCCAGCAUACCCUUGAGAGUCUUUUCCUUAGUCGGGUAAGUCUUGCUGAGUAAUUGCAUACUCAGGGUUUUAUCCCUUGUUGUUUUUGUAGGAGAAGUUUUAUUCCCUUAUCCUUUGGGUAGUUACUUCAUGUGGAGGACUUGAAGCUUAGAAUGUUUUUAUAUAUCUCUUAUGGAAAGGCUUCACCCUUCCAAUUAUUGUAAUAAGUUAUGCACUUCGAGUAC